rnacentral:rRNA from 1 species
GCCAGCAUCCAUAUCACCCUGCAACUCAACUGGCAGCCCACUGAAGCUAAGCGUGCUUGAGCCUGUUCAAUACCUGGAUGGGAGACCUUUGGGGAAAAACUGAGGCUGCUGCUGGAA